UUUCGUGAUCAUUUUGAUUUGGGGAAAAGCCAGAAAUUGCAAGAUGCCAGAUCCAGUGAAUAAGGUCAAGGAAAACAUACAUGGACAUAUGUACACACUACCAGGUAUCUGUUUGGUCUGUGUGUUGUUUCUCUGCCUUUCUGAUCCCAAGGAGAGAAGUACCUGGAACAUAAUAUGGAGAAGGAAAGGAAGAAAUACAGGCAGAGAGGGUGCACUGGGAAAGCACAAAGCGGACGAUGCUACUCCAGAUGGAGAAGCCACCACAGGAAAGAAAAGGGCAGAACCAUUGUAAUAUUUGCUUUCAAAAGCUGGAAGAAAAUUAGCUUUCUGUAAAAGGUAAAGAUGGAGGCAGAUCUAGACCACAUAAGGUUGACCCUGUUGCUAACUUGUCUACAUAUUAAGAGUAAUACAAAGUUAUUAAAUGAUUUAAGAGGUAUAAUUUGGUAUGUUCUUUGAAAAGCUAUUUCUAGCUAUUACAUGGAAAAUAAAGUGGAGAAACAGAAUUGGAAAUCGUUGCAGAAUUAUAAACUGAGAGAUGAUAGUUUGGACUAGAGUGAUAUUGAUGGUAAUGGUGAUAGGAAAUCACAGGCAGGAGAACAUUCUGAACAUAAAAUGGACGGCACUGGUUAAAGAAUAUGAAACAAAGAUGAAUUGGGCAUAUUGACAGCAAAUUAUGUUAUGGAGAAUGACAGAUGCUGGUUUUCUGAAAACUGAGAAAGUACCAUGUUUGGGAAGGAGAAAUUACAAUUUAGUGUGAAAGCAUUGAGUACUAGAUGCCUUUGAAGUUGGGCAAGCAUUUACCUCCAUUUUAAUAUUUCAAAAGUAAUUGGUGAACUUGAUUUAUUUCAGUAAUCUUAUUUAUACAACCUAAUUGCAUGGAAAAAAAUUUCCAGAUCUACCUGUCAAG
rnacentral:lncRNA from 1 species